rnacentral:rRNA from 1 species
GAUCAUGGCUCAGGAUGAACGCUAGCGGCAGGCCUAAUACAUGCAAGUCGGACGGUAAACGGUCCUUCGGGACUGUGAGAGUGGCGGACGGGUGCGCAACGCGUAUGCAACCCACCCCCGACGGGCGCACAGCCGGUGGAAACGCCGGGUAAUGCGCCAUGCGGCCCAAGUGGGGCAUCCCUUUUGGGCCAAAGCGGAGACGCGGUGGGGGACGGGCAUGCGUCCCAUUAGAUAGUUGGCGGGGUGACGGCCCACCAAGUCGACGAUGGGUAGGGGAUCUGAGAGGACGGUCCCCCACACUGGUACUGAGACACGGACCAGACUCCUGCGGGAGGCAGCAGUAAGGGAUAUUGGGCAAUGGGCGGAAGCCUGACCCAGCCAUGCCGCGUGAGGGAAGUAGGCCCUACGGGUCGUGAACCUCUUUUAUACGGGGACAAGGGCUCCCACGCGAUGGGAGUUUGAGGGUACCGUAGGAAUAAGCGUCGGCUAACUCCGUGCCAGCAGCAGC